rnacentral:rRNA from 1 species
CACCCACUCACCAUCGUUCCAAUCCCCACGCACGCACUCACCACCCUUCCAAUCCCGCACCCGCACCCGCUCGCCGAAACCCUAGCCGCCGCCGCCCCCGCACCUUGGCCGACCCUCAGCCCGUCGACGGCGAGGAGCCCUCAGCCCGUCGCCUGCCUUUACCGACAAAUCACGCGACCGCGUGCCCACCAAAUCCUAAAUCUCACCGUCUCCGCCCUCUCCCCGUCCCCUCCACCAAGAUCGCACCAACCACCUCGAUGGCCGCCGCCGCACCGCCGCACGCCGCGGCGCUCCUGGCCGCCCUCGCCCUGCUCGCGCUCGCGCCCCCGGCGGUGGCCGAGAUCCGGUCGAUGGCGAUCCGGGCCGACCCGCGCACUAUGAUCCCGUGCGGUGCGGGAGAUCGGCACGGCGACAGAGAAACCUCGGCGACCAGACGACGGCGCAGGUUGACUCCGGUCCGGCCUGGAAGGAGAGAAUGGGCAAGUCAUGGGCGUUCGUCACCCACCUCCACUCCGUCGUCGGGUAUGUAUCCAUCCUAUCUACUCGCAAAUCUCAUGGUGUUCCACUCUUUUCUGCGGGCGAGAUGUCGAGUGUUGUCUGCUAUCCUCUGCCUCUUCGUUUCCUUGCGCAGGCCAAGCAUCACGCUGUUGUACCCUCUGUAUGUGUCGGUGUGCGCCAUGGAGAGCCCGUCCAAGGUGGACGACGAGUAGUGGCUGGCCUACUGGAUCCUCUACUCAUUCAUCACCCUCCUCGAGAUGCUCGCCGAGCCCGUCCUCUACUGGAUACGGAUGUGGUACCCAGUGAAGCUGCCCCACGGUGGCUCCGGCAAGACCCUCGAGGUCGUCGUCAUGCUGUCCGGGACCCCCGGCACCAAUUGGCGUGAGAGGCAGAAGGGGAAUGCUGACACCGCGUUCCAUGCUCCUUCAGACAUGGAGUCCAGGCGCGCACGGCUCCGUCGCCCUGCGUGCUCCAUUGGAGGAGCCCCCGCCCCGCGCGUGGCCGCCUUGGAGUUGGAGCGCUUCCUGCCCCACGCCCCUUGUCUGGUCUGGCGGCGGGUUCCUCCUGGCCGCGAUGAUGCCCGAGGCCGGCCGCUACACCCACAAGAAGGAUGAUGGCAUCUGCAACAGUGAGCUGCAGGGUUUUGCUUGCUCGCUUGCUUACUUUGCUGCCUGUCUGUAAUCUGGUCGAUUUUGUUUUCUGCUACCAUUCACAGUGUCGUGAAAAUGGAGAUGCAUGUCUAACUGCUUCACAUGCUUAGUCUACUUUAAUGUGUAAAAUGGCAGGCAAAUGCUGCUGCAAAGAUAUUAGUGGUAUAUGUGCAUGCAUUUGACAAUAUGAUUUCACAUGUUUGUUUGAACAUUAACCAUACAGAUUAUGGUACAGUUAAUUUGGUGCAGUUGAAUGAGUGCUUGGUGUUGAUAUUUUGUUAAAUGAGCAUUAUUUUGUCUUAUAAUAGAUUGAUUUGCACUAUUUUGGUUAAUCAAAGUCCCGCAAUCAUAUGUGAUUUAAUUGACUGAGAUGUUGCAGUAGACUUUGUUGCUAGCUAUUUAAGAUCACUUCAGAUAUUAUAUAAACAUCAUGUUGUGAUAGUGGUGGUCAUUGUGUGCAUGCAAUUAACCAGGACGACGAGUGCGGCGAUGAGUCCGACCAGGGCGCGCUAGCAGAGGAGGCCCAGGAGCUUGCCGCCCCUGAUGGCGAGGGCUUGCCCGACUAGGAUGGUGGCCGCCAAGGCCAACGCCAGUGAGGAUGUCAUCCCGGAGUUCAUUGGGGGCCUCAUCCCAUUUGACAAGGCGCAUGACACUACAAGUGCGUCCCCGUGGACGGCAGGAGAAAUAGUGAGGAUGAAGAGGUGAAUGGUGUUGAUUGUUGAACUGAAAGCUUGAUUUGGUCAGGUGGAGGGUGGCUUUGUGAAGGAUGGGGAGGUGGGAGAAGAAGAAAUCUGAAGGAAAGCGGUGAGUAGAUGUCGAUGAUGUCUACUUGCUUGGCUGCUAUGGUGAUGCAUGCAGCGGUGAAGCACGCACACAUGCAAGGCUGGCCCCAUGUCUUCCUUGGCUGCGAACAUCAUCUACAGUCUUUGUUCGUUAAUACCAAGUACUUAGGCUAGCAGUAUGACCGGAUGCGAGGACCUGCUCACUGACCAGGACAAUCUAUGAGCUCCCAGCGCCUCUGAUACAAGGUGCGUUAGGGCCAACCUCUUCCGGAAGAAGGCCACACUUGUAGCCCCUCUGGAUCAAAAUUGGUAUCCCUUCCUGCCUCCUUUUGGAUUCACAUGAUUUUGCCUCAUGGAUUGAUGGAUGUGUCUGUAAUUGUAAAGUCUGGUCCUUGUUUACUUUCUAUAAUUUAUUGCAUGCUUGAUGAGGCUAUGUCAAGUGUCUAAAUUUUGAAUGCAUGCGCUAAGGCAUUUUUGAGCACUUCGUGUUGAUUGGGCGUUUAGCUCCUAUAAUGGUCUUGAAGUUCAUUGUUAUAUACUUCUUGUUGUAGGAUGGCAAGUUGUCGCAGCUGGAGCAAGUCUCGCAAGAGAGAGCAAUGAAAUCCAUUGUACUCUCCUGUUAUAUACUUCUUGUUGUAGGAUGGCAAGUUGUAGGAUGUACGUGUAAACCUGAUUGUACUCUCCUGUCUAAACUACAUCCAUAAUUGUCUUAUUGCAUAUUCCCUCUGCUCCUUCUAUAUUCCUGUGUAAGGAAAUGUAUUCCUGAGAUGAUUUGUUAUGUAAACCUGAUGUGAUGCGAUG